rnacentral:rRNA from 1 species
CUUCGGUACAUCGGUGGACAGGUGGUGCAUGGUUGUCGUCAGCUCGUGUCGUGAGAUGUUGGGUUAAGUCCCGCAACGAGCGCAACCCCUAUUGUUAGUUGCCAUCAUUCAGUUGGGCACUCUAGCGAGACUGCCGGUAAUAAACCGGAGGAAGUGGGAUGACGUCAAAUCAUCAUGCCCCUUAUGACCUGGGCUACACACGUGCUACAAUGGUUGGUACAACGAGUUGCGAGUCGGUGACGGCGAGCUAAUCUCUUAAAGCCAAUCUCAGUUCGGAUUGUAGGCUGCAACUCGCCUACAUGAAGUCGGAAUCGCUAGUAAUCGCGGAUCAGCACGCCGCGGUCGAAUACGUUCCCGGGCCUU